rnacentral:tRNA from 1 species
GUUUUUAUAAUUUAAAGAAAAUGCUAGACUGUGAAUCUAACAAUAGAGCCCCUACCCCUCUUAANAACC